rnacentral:rRNA from 1 species
GACGAACGCUGGCGGCGUGCUUAACACAUGCAAGUCGAACGGUAAGGCCCUUCGGGGUACACGAGUGGCGAACGGGCGAGUAACACGUGGGUGAUCUGCCCUGCACUUUGGGAUAAGCCUGGGAAACUGGGUCUAAUACCGGAUAGGACCAUGGCAUGCGUGUGCUGUGGUGGAAAGCUUUUGCGGUGUGGGAUGGGCCCGCGGCCUAUCAGCUUGUUGGUGGGGUGAUGGCCUACCAAGGCGACGACGGGUAGCCGGCCUGAGAGGGUGUCCGGCCACACUGGGACUGAGAUACGGCCCAGACUCCUACGGGAGGCAGCAGUGGGGAAUAUUGCACAAUGGGCGCAAGCCUGAUGCAGCGACGCCGCGUGGGGGAUGACGGCCUUCGGGUUGUAAACCUCUUUCAAUAGGGACGAAGCGCAAGUGACGGUACCUAUAGAAGAAGCACCGGCCAACUACGUGCCAGCCGCCGCCGUAA